UUACGUCAUUAUAAUGGGCAAGGUUUUCAUGACAUUAAUUCUCGCUCGGCAUAAAUCGACGCAAUGUUUAAAGUAAAACUAUUUGAAUUAAUAAUAUCAGUUCUAACGUUUAUGGAUUACUUGGAUCACUUAAGAUAUUCUUUUGGAUUAAGUUUGUAUCAUGAAUUCUCAAACAAAGGUAAGGGCUUGCGGUUGAAAGAGUGGAAUGAUGAACAUAGAUAUUAUGCAAGGACACGGUUGAAAGAGUGGAAUGAUGAACAUAGAUAUUAUGCAAGGACACGGUUGAAAGAGUGGAAUGACUAAACUAGACAACAAUUACUAUGUAAAGGGCACGGUCCAGAUCUCAAAUCCCGAUGACUUUAACGCCCGGCUUGAGUGGAAAGACGGUGCAGAUUAAUUUCAUCCCUGGUUUAUGUGACACCUGUUGAAGUUUAGGGCGUAUCGUAUUUUGUUUAGGUUCCAGCUGAAGACCCCAGUAAGCGUUCUUUUAAGUGGUGAUUGAAAAAAACCCAACACUCUUCCGUAUAUUAUGACCUCUCGUGUGGAAGAUAACAUGGGUUUUUUUUCUGUAAGACAGGAAGGGGUGUAGGGUGGAUGGCUGAAUGGUUAGUGCAUGCGCGUGUUGCAUUUUAAGGUCUGUCAUUCUGUUAACUGGCGUGGUUUCCAUUCCCCGGAUGUACGUGAGUAGGCGUAGGGUUUUCUACGGGUCCUGCGGUUGAAAAAAUUGAACCACGUGUUAGUCCCGAAGUGAACUAGUUGGUGUCGAGUGGACGUUAAACCCAUUUCUCUCUCUCUGUAAGCUAUAGAUACCUUUUCUUGAGUGAAGAGGGAAACGUCAAUGUGCUUGGUUGGUAAAGUAUUAGGUUCGAGACUUGGGUGUACGGAUCACAUAAUCAGUGUAUCUGAAUUGGUCUGUGAUAUUACAUAGUUUAUUAGGGUGUAAGGAUCUUCAAUUGUUAUACUGUUCUAUAAUCAGAUUAUGUGAACUUAUUUGGCCUGUGUAAAUACUGCUGGGGUGCCCAGCCAUAUCAUUUUCAUGUAAAAGUAUAUCACGUGUUGUAAUUUUAUAUAAACAGAUUAUUUGAACUUAUUUGGCCUGUGUAAAUACAGCUAGGGAAGGGCAGACAUUAACAAUUUUACAGGCAUUAUGUAUUCCAACAUCUUAGAUUUGAUCACAUUUUGGCACAUAAAACUGGCCAUGGAAUCAAAACAGUCGACGAAAGUGUUCAAAAUAUAAUAUUACACCGUAAUUACUAACGGCGUUUAUAUUGCAUUUAUAUUAUCUUUUUACAGAAUAUGUUAAAUAAAAUGUUCCAUCAAGA